rnacentral:rRNA from 1 species
UAGGGAAUCUUGCGCAAUGGGCGAAAGCCUGACGCAGCGACGCCGCGUGCGGGAAGAAGGCCUUCGGGUUGUAAACCGCUUUCAGGAGGGACGAAGCCACUCGGGUUAAUAGCCCAGAGGGUGACGGUAGCGGGAGAAGAAGCCCCGGCUAAUUCCGUGCCAGCAGCCGCGGUAAUACGGAAGGGGCUAGCGUUGUUCGGAAUCACUGGGCGUAAAGCGCGCGUAGGCGGCUUGGCAAGUGCGGCGUGAAAGUCCUGGGCUCAACCUGGGGACGGCGCUGCGGACUGCUUGGCUGGAGUCCGGAAGAGGGUGGUGGAAUUCCGAGUGUAGAGGUGAAAUUCGUAGAUAUUCGGAGGAACACCGGGUGGCGAAGGCGGCCACCUGGUCCGGUACUGACGCUGAAGCGCGAAAGCGUGGGGAGCAAACAGGAUUAGAUACCCUGGUAGUCCACGCCGUAAACGAUGGGUGCUAGAUGUCGGGGGGCUUGCCCUUCGGUGUCGUAGCCAACGCGUUAAGCA